rnacentral:rRNA from 1 species
GUUUUUUAGAUUUUUAAUUAAAGAUUUAAUCUGCCCAGUGAUAAAAUUAAAUGGCCGCAGUAAUUUGACUGUGCGAAGGUAGCAUAAUAAUUAGGCUUUUAAUUUGAGUCUAGAAUGAAUGAUUGGAUGAGAAAAUAACUUUCUUUAAUUUAUUAUUAAAAUUUAAUUUUUAAGUGAAAAAGCUUGAGAUUAUUCUAUGGGACGAUAAGACCCUAUAGAGCUUAAAAUGUAAUUAUUUUUUAAUAUUUUUGGUUUUUUUAUUUUUAAAAAUUUUUUAUUUUUUUAGUUGGGGAGAUUAAUAUAAUUAGUUUAACUUUAUUUUAUUUUUUCAUUUAUAUAUGUACAAUUGAUCCAUUAAUAUUGAUUAUAAGAAAAAGUUACCUUAGGGAUAACAGCGUUAUUUAUUUGGGGAGUUCAUAUCUAUAAAUAAGUUUGCGACCUCGAUGUUGGAUUAAGAUUAGAAUAGGGGGUAGGUUUUCUAUUUCUGGGUCUGUUCGACCUUUAAAUUCUUACA